rnacentral:rRNA from 1 species
GAUGAACGCUGGCGGCGUGCCUAAUACAUGCAAGUCGAGCGAACAGGCGAGGAGCUUGCUCCUCUGACGUUAGCGGCGGACGGGUGAGUAACACGUGGAUAACCUACCUAUAAGACUGGGAUAACUUCGGGAAACCGGAGCUAAUACCGGAUAAUAUAUUGAACCGCAUGGUUCAAUAGUGAAAGACGGUUUUGCUGUCACUUAUAGAUGGAUCCGCGCCGCAUUAGCUAGUUGGUAAGGUAACGGCUUACCAAGGCAACGAUGCGUAGCCGACCUGAGAGGGUGAUCGGCCACACUGGAACUGAGACACGGUCCAGACUCCUACGGGAGGCAGCAGUAGGGAAUCUUCCGCAAUGGGCGAAAGCCUGAUGGAGCAACGCCGCGUGAAUGAUGAAGGUCUUCGGAUCGUAAAACUCUGUUAUUAGGGAAGAACAAAUGUGUAAGUAACUAUGCACGUCUUGACGGUACCUAAUCAGAAAGCCACGGCUAACUACGUG